rnacentral:rRNA from 1 species
UAAGACGUGCGCAGCGGUAGUGUAAGUCUGAUGUGAAAUCCCCGGGCUCAACCUGGGAAUUGCAUUGGAGACUGCAAGGCUAGAAUCUGGCAGAGGGGGGUAGAAUUCCACGUGUAGCAGUGAAAUGCGUAGAUAUGUGGAGGAACACCGAUGGCGAAGGCAGCCCCCUGGGUCAAGAUUGACGCUCAUGCACGAAAGCGUGGGGAGCAAACAGGAUUAGAUACCCGAGU